GUCUUGCAGCUGUCAAAGGUUUCACUCUGAAGAAUGGCAGAUUUCAACAUUAACGCCGCAUCACUGAACAUGAGCCUUGAUCACAACAGCACCUUCAACAACUUUGACUUUGAAAACUUGUUUUUCAUCACAGAUGUUAUGACAUACAUAGUAAUCUGUAUUGGACUUCCUUUGACCCUCGUGGCCAUCUAUGCUCUUUAUUCUCUGGUGGGAAAGGAUCAUGUUGCUCCGAUCGACGUCAUCAACCUUCUCAUUUCUGUCAUCAUUCAGCUCUGCUGCAUGAUCAGUUUUGUGGCAAAACCUAACAACUGGAUUACAGCUAACAUUAUUUACUUCUCUAGUCUGUUUGCCAGUGUUUACUUCAUGGUGUGCAUUGCCCUGGAAAGGUAUCUGUCUCUCCAGAA